AAACCAACAGGGAUUACCUUAGUAACGGCGAGUGAAGCGGUAAAUGCUCAAAUUUGAAAGCUGCCAACAGGCCGCGUUGUAAUUUGUAGAAGAUGCUUUGGGUGUCGGCCCAGUCUAAGUUCCUUGGAACAGGACGUCAUAGAGGGUGAGAAUCCCGUAUGUGAUUGGUGCCGUCCCCCGUGUAAAGCUCUUUCGACGAGUCGAGUUGUUUGGGAAUGCAGCUCAAAAUGGGUGGUAAAUUUCAUCUAAAGCUAAAUAUUGGCCAGAGACCGAUAGCGCACAAGUAGAGUGAUCGAAAGAUGAAAAGCACUUUGGAAAGAGAGUUAAACAGUACGUGAAAUUGUUGAAAGGGAAGCGCUUGCAAUCAGACUUGCAGGCGGUCGAUCAUCCGAGGUUCUCCCCGGUGCACUCGAUCGUCUUCAGGCCAGCAUCGGUUUCUGUGGUGGGAUAAAGGCUGUGAGAACGUAGCUCUUCGGAGUGUUAUAGCUCACGGUGCAAUGCCGCCUACGGGGACCGAGGACCGCGCUUCGGCUAGGAUGCUGGCGUAAUGGUUGUAAGCGAC
rnacentral:rRNA from 1 species